rnacentral:rRNA from 1 species
CUGGUUCUCCCCGAAAGCUAUUUAGGUAGCGCCUCGUGAAUUCAUCUCCGGGGGUAGAGCACUGUUUCGGCAAGGGGGUCAUCCCGACUUACCAACCCGAUGCAAACUGCGAAUACCGGAGAAUGUUAUCACGGGAGACACACGGCGGGUGCUAACGUCCGUCGUGAAGAGGGAAACAACCCAGACCGCCAGCUAAGGUCCCAAAGUCAUGGUUAAGUGGGAAACGAUGUGGGAAGGCCCAGACAGCCAGGAUGUUGGCUUAGAAGCAGCCAUCAUUUAAAGAAAGCGUAAUAGCUCACUGGUCGAGUCGGCCUGCGCGGAAGAUGUAACGGGGCUAAACCAUGCACCGAAGCUGCGGCAGCGACGCUUAUGCGUUGUUGGGUAGGGGAGCGUUCUGUAAGCCUGUGAAGGUGUGCUGUGAGGCAUGCUGGAGGUAUCAGAAGUGCGAAUGCUGACAUAAGUAACGAUAAAGCGGGUGAAAAGCCCGCUCGCCGGAAGACCAAGGGUUCCUGUCCAACGUUAAUCGGGGCAGGGUGAGUCGACCCCUAAGGCGAGGCCGAAAGGCGUAGUCGAUGGGAAACAGGUUAAUAUUCCUGUACUUGGUGUUACUGCGAAGGGGGGACGGAGAAGGCUAUGUUGGCCGGGCGACGGUUGUCCCGGUUUAAGCGUGUAGGCUGGUUUUCCAGGCAAAUCCGGAAAAUCAAGGCUGAGGCGUGAUGACGAGGCACUACGGUGCUGAAGCAACAAAUGCCCUGCUUCCAGGAAAAGCCUCUAAGCAUCAGGUAACAUCAAAUCGUACCCCAAACCGACACAGGUGGUCAGGUAGAGAAUACCAAGGCGCUUGAGAGAACUCGGGUGAAGGAACUAGGCAAAAUGGUGCCGUAACUUCGGGAGAAGG